GAGCGGAGUUGUGGUGCUUGCACCAUAACUUAGCGGCGGACGGGUGAGUAAUGCUUAGGAAUCUGCCUAUUAGUGGGGGACAACAUCUCGAAAGGGAUGCUAAUACCGCAUACGUCCUACGGGAGAAAGCAGGGGACCUUCGGGCCUUGCGCUAAUAGAUGAGCCUAAGUCGAAAUAAGGCCUAGUUGGGUGGGGUAAAGGCCUACCAAGGCGACGAUCUGUAAGCGGGUCUGAGACGAUGAUCCGCCACACUGGAACUGAGACACGGCCCAGACUCCUACCGGAGGCAGCAGUGGGGAAUACUGGACAAUGGCGGGAACCCUGAUCCAGCCAUGCCGCGUGUGUGAAGAAGGCCUUUUGGUUGUAAAGCACUUUAAGCGAGGAGGAGGCUACCGAGACUAAUACUCUGGGAUAGUGGACGUUACUCGCAGAAUAAGCACCGGCUAACUCUGUGCCAGCAGCCGCGGUAAUACAGAGGGUGCGAGCGUUAAUCGGAUUUACUGGGCGUAAAGCGUGCGUAGGCGGCUUUUUAAGUCGGAUGUGAAAUCCCUGAGCUUAACUUAGGAAUUGCAUUCGAUACUGGGAAGCUAGAGUAUGGGAGAGGAUGGUAGAAUUCCAGGUGUAGCGGUGAAAUGCGUAGAGAUCUGGAGGAAUACCGAUGGCGAAGGCAGCCAUCUGGCCUAAUACUGACGCUGAGGUACGAAAGCAUGGGGAGCAAACAGGAUUAGAUACCCUGGUAGUCCAUGCCGUAAACGAUGUCUACUAGCCGUUGGGGCCUUUGAGGCUUUAGUGGCGCAGCUAACGCGAUAAGUAGACCGCCUGGGGAGUACGGUCGCAAGACUAAAACUCAAAUGAAUUGACGGGGGCCCGCACAAGCGGUGGAGCAUGUGGUUUAAUUCGAUGCAACGCGAAGAACCUUACCUGGUCUUGACAUAGUAAGAACUUUCCAGAGAUGGAUUGGUGCCUUCGGGAACUUACAUACAGGUGCUGCAUGGCUGUCGUCAGCUCGUGUCGUGAGAUGUUGGGUUAAGUCCCGCAACGAGCGCAACCCUUUUUCCUUAUUUGCCAGCGGGGUAAGUCCGCGAACUUUAAGGAUACUGCCACUGACAAACUGGCAGAAAGACGGGGACGACGUCAAGUCAUCAUGGCCCUUACGGACCAGGGCUACACACCUGCCUACAAUGAUCGGUACAAAGGGUAUGCUACCGCGCGAGAGGAUGCUAAUCUCAAAAAGCCGAUCUGUAGUCCGGAUUGGAGGCUGAAACCUCG
rnacentral:rRNA from 1 species